AAAACUCUACCGUGGUUUUGUUCUAUGAAAGUGUAAAUAUUUUACAAAAUAUAUAUAUAUUUUUGAGAAAAAAGCUUUAAAAUAUUGUAUUUAAUGAUGCAUUUUAGGGUCAACAAAUAUGUGUCGAGACAUAAUAUUAAAAAUUGUUCUUAAUUAAGGUAUAUCUUGAAUUUUGAAUGUGUAUACAUUUCUUUAGAUAUUGAAUAAUAAGAUAAGAAUUUGUUAAAAACGAUAUUUAAAAGUUCAAUAGUGAUCUAUCGUUUACCUACUAAAUUGACUUGAAUUUAUUUUACGUUACUUUUGAACCUAAUUAAGCUAAGUUGUAUGAGAUUAUUAAUCAAUUUUCUAUUAUGUUUAAGGUUUAACAUAGAUGCUAUAUAUUAAACUCACACGUGGUAGAGAUAACAACCUUUUAGGAAAAUAGUAUAUGAGAUUGUCCGCUAUGAAACAUAAUAAACCUUUGUGAUAUAUUACUUAUGGGUUUGGUUUUUUUGAUAUAGAAAACAGUCCCUCCCUAACUGCAUGCGUAUGAGUUGAUUUUUCGAUUGUGGAUUAUAAAACUUUGGUUUAAAUUUAAAAAUUUGUAAUUACGAGGAAGGAAAAGAAAAGAAAAGAAGUAAUUGAAAUGGGAGAGGAAGAGUUGAGAGAAUAAAAAAUGAGAGAAAGGGAAAGACAAUAAGAGGAAUAAAGUGAACAAAAAGAAGAAGAUGAGAACUCUUCACCGUCAAACAGAUUCCACAGAUGGAAUUUUCCCAACUAAAAUAAAGUAGAAAAAGGAUAUUAAUUUAUACUGUAUAUAUAUGUAAAAAAAUAAAUAAAUAAAAAGCAAGAAAAGAAUCUUCAUGAUCAGAUUAGGUUUAAAAUUGUGUUAAAAUUGAUACUAAUGCAGUAAUUUUAAAAAAUAAUUAUUACAGUAUAUGGGAUAUUGUGAAACUUUUAUAAAGAUUUAAUCCUGUUUUCUUUUUUCUUUUUAAAAAAUCUAGUAAGAAUAUUUUAGAUUUUUAUUUUUAAUGAGGAAAGAUCAAUCCCUACUAUUAAAUCAAGCCAUGUCACAAUUUUACCAUUAAUAUUCACUCACGUUUUUAAAAAAUGUAAAAAGUUCUAUAAACUCGUUGAUUUUUUUAAAAAAACAAAAAUCUAAGUUUUGAGAAAACAAUUAGAACUCAAAUUUAAAUAAAUGUAUAUGACUUUUUUUUUUAACCACUUCUCAAGAAAAGAAUAUUAGAGAGAAAAAUCAUAA
rnacentral:lncRNA from 1 species